rnacentral:rRNA from 1 species
UUUUGGAAGUAAAAAAACGUAACAAGGUCUCCGUUGGUGAACCAGCGGAGGGAUCAUUACAGAGUUAUCCAACUCCCAAACCCAUGUGAACUUAUCUCUUUGUUGCCUCGGCGCAAGCUACCCGGGACCUCGCGCCCCGGGGGGCCCGCCGGCGGACAAACCAAACUCUGUUAUCUUCGUUGAUUAUCUGAGUGUCUUAUUUAAUAAGUCAAAACUUUCAACAACGGAUCUCUUGGUUCUGGCAUCGAUGAAGAACGCAGCGAAAUGCGAUAAGUAAUGUGAAUUGCAGAAUUCAGUGAAUCAUCGAAUCUUUGAACGCACAUUGCGCCCAUUAGUAUUCUAGUGGGCAUGCCUGUUCGAGCGUCAUUUCAACCCCUAAGCACAGCUUAUUGUUGGGACUCUACGGCUUCGUAGUUCCCCAAAGACAUUGGCGGAGUGGCAGCAGUCCUCUGAGCGUAGUAAUUCUUUAUCUCGCUUUUGUUAGGCGCUGCCCCCCCGGCCGUAAAACCCCCAAUUUUCUGGUGACCUCGAUCAGUAGCAAGCCCGCCCC